GACAGAGGCCUCAAGCGUUAGGCGGAAUCACUGGGCUUAAAGCGUGUGUAGGCGGAUCGUUAAGUGUCUUGUGAAAUCCCACGGCUCACCCGUAGGAACUGCUGGGCAUACUGGCGAUCUUGGGCCAACUAGGGGCAACUGGAACAAGCGGUGGAGCGGUGAAAUGCGUAGAUAUCGGAAGGAACGCCGGUGGCGAAAGCGGCGCACUGGAUCUCUUCUGACGCUGAGGCGCGAAAGCCAGGGGAGCAAACGGG
rnacentral:rRNA from 1 species